rnacentral:sRNA from 1 species
CUCUGCCAUGUGGACAUAGUCAACCGCCUGCAUAGCUGACCUUAGCUUCCAGCACUUCCAGCUCCUUGCCCGACUUGAAGGUAGAAGUUCCUUGAAAGAAAUAGAACCAAAUCUGUUUGCUGAUGAAGAUUCACCUGUGCAUGGUGAUAUUCUUGAAUUUCAUGGCCCAGAAGGAACAGGAAAAACAGAAAUGCUUUAUCACCUAACAGCACGAUGUAUACUUCCCAAAUCAGAAGGUGGCCUGGAAGUAGAAGUCUUAUUUAUUGAUACAGAUUACCACUUUGAUAUGCUCCGGCUAGUUACAAUUCUUGAGCACAGACUAUCCCAAAGCUCUGAAGAAAUAAUCAAAUACUGCCUGGGAAGAUUUUUUUUGGUGUACUGCAGUAGUAGCACCCACUUACUUCUUACACUUUACUCACUAGAAAGUAUGUUUUGUAGUCACCCAUCUCUCUGCCUUUUGAUUUUGGAUAGCCUGUCAGCUUUUUACUGGAUAGACCGCGUCAAUGGAGGAGAAAGUGUGAACUUACAGGAGUCUACUCUGAGGAAAUGUUCUCAGUGCUUAGAGAAGCUUGUAAACGACUAUCGCCUGGUUCUUUUUGCAACGACACAAACUAUAAUGCAGAAAGCCUCGAACUCAUCAGAAGAACCUUCUCAUGCCUCUCCACGACUGUGUGAUGUGGACAUAGACUACAGACCUUAUCUCUGUAAGGCAUGGCAGCAACUGGUGAAGCACAGGAUGUUUUUCUCCAAACAAGAUGAUUCUCAAAGCAGCAACCAAUUUUCAUUAGUUUCACGUUGUUUAAAAAGUAACAGUUUAAAAAAACAUUUUUUUAUUAUUGGAGAAAGUGGGGUUGAAUUUUGUUGAUAUACAUCAUAAAAUAGUCUUUUGCAGGGUACUACGCAAGCCUUAAAAUUUUUCUUAAGACAGAGUCUUGCUCUGUCUCCCAGGCUGGAGUGCAGUGGCACAAUCAUGGCUCACUGCAGCCUUGAACUCCUGGCCUCAAGGGAUCCUCCUAUGUGUGCCUCCUAGAGUGCAGGGAUUACAGGCGUGAGCCACUGCUCGUGGCCAAAAGUUUUCUUUCUUUUUUUUUUUCUUUUUGAAACAGUCUUACUCUGUCUCCCAGGCUGGAGUGCAGUGGCACAAUCUCGGCCCGCUGCAGCCUCCGCCUCCUGGGUUCAAGUGAUUCUUCCACCUCAGCCUCCCAGGUAGCUGGGAUUACAGGCACCCACCACCACGCCUGGCUAAUUUUUGUAUUUUUAAUAGAGAUGGGGGUUUCACCAUGUUGGCCAGGCUGGUCUCGAACUCCGGACCUCAAGUGAUCCACCCACCUCGGCCUCCCAAAGUGCUGGGAUUACAGGCCCGUGCCCAGCCCUAAAGUUUUAAACUCUAGGGGAAUUAACAGUAUUUCUUUACAGAAUGGAUUUGUUAAACUAGCACAGUAAAAGUAAAGACUAUUCUGUUUCUAGGCUGUUGAAUCAAAGUGAUUUUAGCAAUUAAACUUUGUAUUAAUUUACCACCAAAAUUUCUUCACCAAAGGAACUUUUAAAAGAUUAUCUCAGAAAGUAAAUCUGAGAGGUAAGAAGUAAUAAUGAGUAAAUGGUAAGUACUUGAGUAAAUCUAAAGAAAUAUUGAUAGUAAGGCAAUCCUAAGCAAAAAGAACAAAGCUGGAGGCAUCACGCUACCCAGCUUCAAACUAUACUACAAGGCUACAGUAACCAAAACAGCAUAGUACUAGCACAAAAACACACGUAGACUGAUGGAACAGAAUAGAGAAUUUAGAAAUGAGACCACACACCUAUAAUUUUUUGAUCUUCGACGAACCUGACAAAAACAAGCAAUGGGCAAUGGAUUCUCUAUUCAAUAAAUCGUGCUGGGAUAACUGGCCAGCCAUAUGGAAAAGACUGAAAAUGGACGCCUUCCUUAUGCCAUAUACAAAAAUUAACUCAAGAUGGAUUAAAGACUUAAUGUAAAACCCAAAACAAUAAAAAUCCUGGAAGACAACCCAGGCAGUACCAUUCAGGACAUAGGCACAGGCAAAGAUUUCAUGACGAAGACGCCAAAAACAAUUGCAACAGAAGCAAAAAUUCACAAAUGGGAUCUAAUUAAACUAAAGAGCUGCACAGCAAAAGAAACUAUCAAGAGAGUAAACAGACAGCUUACAGAAUGGGAGAAAAUUGUUGCAAACUAUGCAUCUGAGAAAGGUCUGAAAUCCAGCAUCUAUACGUAAUUUACACAAAUUUAGAAGAAAAAAACACCCCAUUAAAAAGUGGGCAAAGGACAUGAACAGACACUUUUCAAAAGAAGACAUCUGUGGCCAGCAAUCCUAUGAAAAAAAGCCCAGCAUCACUGAUCAUUAGAGAAAUGCAAACCGAAACAACAACGAGAUACCAUCUCACACCAGUCCAAAUGGCUAUUAUAAAAAUGUCAGAAAAUAACAGAUGCUGGUGAGGUUGUGGAGAAAAAGAUAUGCUUAUACACUGUUGGUGGAAAUGUAAAUUAAAUUAGUUCAGCCAUUGUGGAAGACAGUGUGGGGAUAAAGACAGAGAUACCAUUCGACCCAGCAAUCUCAUUACUGGGUAUAUACCCAAAGGAAUAGAAAUCAUUGUUAUAAAGACACAUGCACGCGUAUGUUCGUUGCAGCACUGCCCAUCAGUGACAGACUGGAUUAAAAAAAUGUGGUACAUACACACCAGGGAAUACUAUGCAGCCAUAAAAAGGAACAAGACUGACUGGGCGUGGUGGCUCAUGCCUGUGAUCCUAGCACUUUGCGAGGCUGAGGUGGGUGAAUUGCCCGCGCUCAGGAGGUCAAGACCAGCCUGGGCAACACGGUGAAACCCCAUCUCUAUUAAAAUACAAAAAAUUAGCUGGGCAUGGUGGUGCGUGCCUGUAGUGCCAGCUACUCAGGAGGCUGAGGCAGGAGAAUUGCUGGAACCAGGGAGGCGGAGGUUGCAGUGAGCCGAGAUCGCGCCCUUGCACUCACGCCUGGGCGACUCCAUCUCUAAAAAAUAAAAAAUAAAAUAUAAGGAACAAGAUCAUACCUUUGCCAGGGACAUGGAUGGAGCUGGACGCUAUUAUCCUUAGCAAACUAACAUAGGAACAGAAAACCAGAUACUGCAUGUUUUCACUUAUAAGUGGGAGCUAAAUGAUGAGAACUCCUGGAUACAAAGAAGGGAACACACACACACACACACACACACCCUCUCACAGACUUAGAAUACGUGGCAAGAAAAGCAUAUAAUUUGACAUUGGGAGCAGAAGAAUUAGUGUUCUAAGGUCCCUGCAUUGUCCGGGAGAAGGGGAAAAGUAUCAACAUUAGACAUUGAUAAAGGGUCUGCACCUUUUGAUUUCUUAACCACUCAAGGAUAGAAAAGGGGCAUAACUUUAAAAUGAAACAGGAAAAUGGUGGGCUGAUUUUUAAAUUUAAAAGAACCGAAUACAGCAGGACAGAUCCAAAGCACAGAGGAGAUGGUGUAUUUAACUCCAUCCACACCAAUCAUUACAUUACAUGCAAAGGGAUUGAGGACUCCAGUUAAAAUGACAGUUGUAGGCUGGUUUUUAAAAUACAUAUUUGCUGUUUUAUUUUUAGAGACAAGGUCUCGCUCCGUUGCCCAGGCUGGAGUGCAGUGGCAUCAUAACUCACUGCAGCCUCGAACUCCUGGGUUCCAGUGAGCCUCCACCUCAGCCUCCAAAGUAGCUGUGAUUACAGGUGUGUGCCACCUUGCCUAGCUGAGUCCCUUGAAUUGAUAAAAGGUAUAUACAAAAAUCCCUCAGUAAACAUUAGUUAAUAGUGAAAUAUUAGAAGUGUCUCUUUUAAAAUCAAGAACAAGAGUGCCUGCUAUUAUUACUUGUAUUCAACAUUGUACUGAAAGUGUCAACACAGUAAAGCAAGGAAAAUGAAAAAAAAAAAGGCAUACGGAAGAAACAAAACUGUCAUUCUUUAAAGGUUAGAUGAUUGUAUGUAUGGAAAUCCAAUAUCUUCUAUAAGCAGAUUAUCAGAAUUAAGAGUUUAGCAAAUUUGCGAGCUAAAACAUCAACAUUUAAGUUUUUCUAAGUACCAGCAACAGAAUUAAAAAAUAGAAUGUUAGGCUGAGUGCAGUGGCUCACAACUGUAAUCCCAGCACUUUGGGAGGCCAAGGAGGGAGGAUUGCUUGAGUCCUAGGAGUUCAAGACCAGCCUGGGCAACAUAGUGUAAGACCCUGUCUCUAUAAAAAUAAAUUUUAAACAAGAAAAUGGAAUUUUAAAUAUAUAUAAUAUUUAAUCAUAACUAAAAAUAUAAAGUUUCUAGAAAUAAAUCUAAUAAAAAUAUGCAAGACCUUUUUGGAGAAAAUUACAAAGCUUUAUUGUAAGAAGCAGAGUUUAACCCUUUUCCCAUUUAGAAAAAAAAAGUGCAGCUCACUGCCGGCGCUCAUUUAAUUUUACGUAAACACACUCUUGGAGGCUGAAGCAGAUCUUACUGAUUUUCAAUGUGAAAAUAAAAUAUAAAAACUGUUCUUGGAGUUAUUUCUAAACAGAACUAACAUCAGAAUCAUCUGAAUCAUCAGAAUCAUCUAUUUCAGAAAAAUCGGACUCAUCGAAUGAAUCUUCGGCUAACUGUUGAGAACGAUGUUAACAUCACGUGUAGGAAUACUACAUUUUCCAGGAUUUGACAUUUUCAGCGAUCGAGAAUUACUAUGUUUUGUAAAUGGAAAUACCACUACUAAAGACAGAAUGCUAU